AUUGAACGCUGGCGGCAGGCCUAACACAUGCAAGUCGAGCGGAUGAAGGGAGCUUGCUCCUGGAUUCAGCGGCGGGCGGGUGAGUAAUGCCUAGGAAUCUGCCUGGUAGUGGGGGAUAACGUCCGGAAACGGGCGCUAAUACCGCAUACGUCCUGAGGGAGAAAGUGGGGGAUCUUCGGACCUCACGCUAUCAGAUGGGCCUAGGUCGGAUUAGCUAGUUGGUGGGGUAAAGGCCUACCAAGGCGACGAUCCGUAACUGGUCUGAGAGGAUGAUCAGUCACACUGGAACUGAGACACGGUCCAGACUCCUACGGGAGGCAGCAGUGGGGAAUAUUGGACAAUGGGCGAAAGCCUGAUCCAGCCAUGCCGCGUGUGUGAAGAAGGUCUUCGGAUUGUAAAGCACUUUAAGUUGGGAGGAAGGGCAGUAAGUUAAUACCUUGCUGUUUUGACGUUACCAACAGAAUAAGCACCGGCUAACUUCGUG
rnacentral:rRNA from 1 species